AGUAACUCCUCACUUAACGUUGUAGCUAUGUUCCUGAAGAAUGUGACUUUUAAGCAAAAUGUUAAGUAAAUCCAAUUUCCCCAUAAGAAUUAAUGUAAAUGGGGAGGAUAAGGUCCAGAGAA